rnacentral:rRNA from 1 species
AAUCAACGCUGGCGGCGUGCCUCAGACAUGCAAGUCGAACGAUUAAAGCUCUCUUCGGAGAGUGUAUAGAGUGGCGCACGGGUGAGUAACACGUAAGUAAUCUACCCUCGAGUGGGGAAUAACAACCGGAAACGGUUGCUAAUACCGCAUAAUGCAGCGGCACCGCAAGGUGACAGUUGUUAAAGAUUUAUCGCUUGAGGAGGAGCUUGCGGCAGAUUAGCUAGUUGGUAGGGUAACGGCUUACCAAGGCUACGAUCUGUAACCGGUCUAAGAGGACGGUCGGUCACACUGACACUGAAUAACGGGUCAGACUCCUAUGGGAGGCAGCAGUCGGGAAUUUUGGGCAAUGGGCGAAAGCCUGACCCAGCAACGCCGCGUGAAGGAUGAAGUAUUUCGGUAUGUAAACUUCGAAAGAAUAGGAAGAAUUAAUGACGGUACUAUUUAUAAGGUCCGGCUAACUACGUG